ACGGGGGGUGCAAGCGUUAUUCGGAAUCACUGGGCGUAAAGCGCGUGCAGGCGGACUAGCAAGUUUGAAGUGAAAUCCUCGAGCUUAACCUUAGAAGGGCUUUGAAAACUGUUAAUCUUGAAUGCUGGAGAGGGAGAGGGAAUUUCCGGUGUAGAGGUGAAAUUCGUAGAGAUCAGAAGGAAUACCGGUGGCUAAGGCGACCUUCUGGACGGUUACUGACGCUGAGACGCGAAAGCGUGGGGAGCAAACUG
rnacentral:rRNA from 1 species